CUUCCCUGUCAAUAGGCAGAGACACCUCAUUGGUGGUGGUGUUCUUAUAUGAGUCAGGGGCAGAGCAAAUGACAGUUAUUUCUUCAUCCUAGCUUGAUGUCUGACUUGGUGGUCAAAGUUGUUUUAUGCCUAUGUCUCAUAA